rnacentral:tRNA from 1 species
ACUUUUAUAAUUUAUAAAGAAUAUUACACUGAAGAUGUAAAAGUGAUUAAUUAAUCUGAAAGUA